rnacentral:rRNA from 1 species
GMGCUGGCGGMAGGCCUAAMCAWGCAAGUCGAGKKGYGAWRGGWGCYWGCUCCCWGAUUUYGCGGCGGACGGGUGWGUAAWGCCUWGGAAUCWGCCWGGUAGWGGGGGAUAACGUUCCGAAWRGAACGCUAAUACCGCAUACGUCCUACGGGAGAAAGCAGGGGACCUUCGGGCCUUGCGCUAUCAGAUGAGCCUAGGUCGGAUUAGCUAGUUGGUGAGGUAAUGGCUCACCAAGGCGACGAUCCGUAACUGGUCUGAGAGGAUGAUCAGUCACACUGGAACUGAGACACGGUCCAGACUCCUACGGGAGGCAGCAGUGGGGAAUAUUGGACAAUGGGCGAAAGCCUGAUCCAGCCAUGCCGCGUGUGUGAAGAAGGUCUUCGGAUUGUAAAGCACUUUAAGUUGGGAGGAAGGGCAUUAACCUAAUACGUUAGUGUUUUGACGUUACCAACAGAAUAAGCACCGGCUAACUUCGUGCCAGCAGCCS